rnacentral:lncRNA from 10 species
AAAAGUUCUUUGCACUUAAAACAGACAGGAACACAACCAUGAUGAUUUAACACUGAGAAGCGGGCAGUCUCAGGGAAAACUAAUGUAUUUCAUUCACGCUGUGGUGCACCCAGUCACAUCUCUUCACAGAAAGGCAUCUUGAAUCUGAUAGUGUUGAAACACUGUUGGCCGGAAGACAGUAAUAGUAGUUAUCUGUGGAUGAUGGCAGGGCCUUGCUGCAAAAUCUGAAGGGCCUCCUCUGAAUUCACCUGUAGGUAUCACUGGUAAACUGGGCUCUUUCCUCACUUUUGAUUAGUUGUACAGAAAGAACAUUUAAUUGAAAAAGACACUUAGGUUUUAUUUGAUGGCCAGCGACUGGAGAAGGCAAGCUCUUUCUUUAAAUGCAUGAACAAAAGGCAUGGGGUUCUUAAGGACUAGCUGUGGGGGAAUGAAAGGAAUAUUAGCAUGUGUGGGGUGGGACUCCAGAUGUGCAGGCUCAAUUUGUAAACAUAUGUCUUCAUACAUCACAUAUGCACAGAAUAGCAGAGAUACUCUUUUACGGGUGGGAAUUUUAACAUUA